rnacentral:hammerhead_ribozyme from 1 species
GUCCAACUGAAGAGUCUCAAAUAGGAUGAAACGCGCAUUAUGGAU